rnacentral:lncRNA from 1 species
CAGGCUGGAGAUAUGGAUAUAAGGGAUGAGCCACCUGCCUUUAAUUGGAAGUAGACCCAGGGUGAGAAAAAGAAGCAACCAUAUAAAAUUCUCUAAAGUGCAUCUGGGGAGGUGCAAGAGUUAACAGGUAACUUAAUGACACUGUACUAUCCAAUGUCCAAAUUUGAUUACUUUUAAAUGAAAAAUGUCAAACUGAUCUCAGUUGGACUGUGUGAAAUGAUAACCAUAUUACUCCUACCCUUAGGACAACAUAAUUCAUGACAAAAACAUUAUAUAAAAAUGGUAGUAUAUCCUUCCCUCAGGAAACCAGAGAGACGGCACCGGCCCUGAUCGCUGACAGUGGAGAUCAGUACGCAUAGAAUAUCAGUCUUCGUUGUCAACAGAGGCAAUGGAAUCCUAUGGAAUAGGAGCAGAAGAGUUUGAGGAAUGGUUUUUGAACUGAAGCAAGGCAGAGCAUGUGGUGUGGGGAACUCAUUUCUGGCAAGAUCUGAU